AUAGUACUCCCUUCGUCCGGAAAUACUUGUCACAAAAAUAAUAGAAAUGGAUGUAUCUAGAACUAAAAUACAUCUAGAUACAUUCAUUUCUCUGACAAGUAAUUCCGGACGAAGGGAGUACUGC
rfam:Triticum urartu cultivar G1812 contig694073, whole genome shotgun sequence.